GCUUCUGCCUCCAUUCUGACUUCCAAAUCUCUUGCAAAUGCAUAUAAUUGGUUGAACCUAAUUCACAGUUAGAACCCCAGCUGCAAGUGAGACUGGAAAAAUGGCUCUCAGAGUUCCCGCCUCUGCAGUAGAGGAAGACACUCCAGAAGGAGUUGAGAAUGGGUGCUGAGUGCCUCUUCAGGAUGUCUGUCACACCUCAGGAAACCUGCCAGGAAUACCAAAGGGAGUGAAAAAUCCAAGGUUGGGAAGCCCUGGGACAUUGAAGUUACAACUGGACGAUAAAAACAGAGUUUUUUCCUUGUGACGUGACCACUGUGAUGUAAAGCUGUAUCUCCUUCAUUUCAUCAAGAAAUUCUUAAAAUUCUCCCCCAACGUGCUUUCAUCUUUCCCUUCAUUGCCAACUCUGAAUACUUGUCAUUGAAAUUAGGGCCCACCUGGAUAAUCCAUGAUGAUCUCAUCUCAAGAUCCUUAACUUAAUGACAUCUGCAGAGACUGGUUUAUCAAAUAAGGGACUGUGGCUAUAUCGCUGACCUCAAGAAAACCUGCGGACAAAAUCUGCUAAAGAAGUAUCAGCAUCUAUUUCAAAAGUUAGCCAUUAUUUUAAGAAGACUGUGCUGGAAGACGGGUAUUUAACACAAACAGAUGCAAAAGAUACGGGGUUUCACCGUGUUGACCAGACUGAUUUUGAACUUCUGGGCUCAAUCAGUCCACCUGCCUCGGCCUCCCAAAGUGCUGAGAUUAUAGGUGUGAGCCCCUGCGCCUGGCCAGGGAUGCCGUUCUUCACUCUCCAGUAAGCAGAAUGGCUCCAGAAGGGAGGGCGAGGGCUAAGGGGCAGAGGCCUGAAGUCCUGUUUGCUUUAUCUUCUGGUUUCAGUGUGUGUGCAGGGCUGCGAGCGCUGGCAGGGGCAUCUGGCUGCCCGAGGCACACACGGGUCAUGCUCACUCUCAUCCUGGGGCUCUGAGCGAGGGUGACACUGAGCCCAGAUGCGGUGACUCUUUCUUCCACAGCUUUGAGUAAAUUUCUUCCAGAGACAUCUGCAUCUUGGCGCGGCUUGGCUUUGCCCUCCUGUAUAGGUUCUUAUUAUUUAUUUCCGGAAUUUCCGGAGUGGGGCAUUUACUCUUCAUUUUAAAGGACUGGCUGUGUGGGAAUUGUUUCAGAGGCGGCAAGGCACAGCUCUUACUGGUAAAACAGAAAGGGAAGGGCAUUUGUGUGGGGACUUUUAACCACAAUGAAAAGGUUGUUUGCUUUAUAGCCAUUAAAAAGAAGGGGAAAACCUCCCACCAAAAGGCAAAAUAACCACACACAUGAGCACACAAAGCUGCAAAAUUCUUGGAUAGGAUUAAUUUCGAAUUCCUUGAUUAGAUUCAAGUUGGUGUUUCACAAUAGCCACAUCAUUACUAAUUCAAAGGAAGUUCAAGGCCUUGGGAAAGAAAGCCUCCAUCUCUUAGCACAGCCGUGAAAAUAUGCAUUUUCCUGUAAGCCUUCAGAAAAUGACGUCUGAGCUAGAAGAAAUUAACCUAAUGGCAGUUCAGGCAGGAAGCUUAAAAUAAGCUUAACUGUUGUCUUCUUCCUUUUUAGGUUGGUUUCCCUCCAAGCUGGGAUUUGAACUCUCUUAUCUCCAGGGUUAGGGUUGCAGACGGAGUUGUAAGGACAGAAAGGGAAGAGGAAUACACACAUUUUUAGCUGACGGACUUGGCCCCAGCUUUGCAGGCUAACUGAAACUCCCAAGGCCUUGAGAUUUUUGAAAACUGCCAUAUUUCCUCUAGUUGAAGACUCAUUUUAUAUUUUUUCACAUGUUAACAUUUAUGAAAUUGGGAUGUGUAAUGUACGCCCUGUCAAAAAAUUUUCCAGCAGCCAUUUAGAGGAGUGACACGUCCACGUGGCCUACCUGGCCUGUGGCCACACCUCCUUAGCCAGCUUCGUGGAAGUAUCUGUUCAUCCAUUUUGUCACUUUGUUUUGUUAUUUUCAUUGGUGGCACAGCACACUGUUAACUUAGAUUCAUGUCCCUAAUUGCCACUGAAAGUGUCUUUCACAAAGAUAACUCUGCUUUACAGCAUUGGAGCAAAAGUCACCAUGCGUGCAAAAGAUUGCCUGGCACAUGCCAGGCAUUAGGCAUCGCCCCCACUGCACAGAGUAAAUGACACACUUUUCAAAGCAAGGGGAAAUUGGUAUGACUACUUCAUGCACCAUUAAAAAAAAAAACUAUUAUUCAGGCUCCAAAAU
rnacentral:lncRNA from 10 species